UGAAUAAUUAUACAUCACUUUGUUGGUUGUAUCUAUGUCGCAUCCAUACUCUUUAAACUUUUUAAAAAAAUAAACGCAAAUAAUUAACAUCCCGUGCAGUUCUGCACGAGUGUUAAACUAGUUCUUCAUAUAGAGGAAGUUUGUCAUACAAUCAUUUGACCGCCUCAAGACCAUAAGCCAAAAAGAAAAAUAUAACUACAUUGAAACAUCUAUUUAAGAUAUCUGUAAUAAAUAAAAAGAUAUGGAGGAAUAUUAUAUUACUAGUCAAAAACGUUUAUUAGCUGAAAUCAUAGAAGCAUUUACAAAAGUUGUAUAGUCUAUCCUAUAUUACUUGAGAAAGUUGUGGAGGAGUAGUUGUAGUAUUUUUCGGGAAGUAGAAUAUGUAAAAAAAAAAACCAAAAAAAAAAACUAGUAACACGUAACAACUAGAAGCAUAUUCUUGAACCAAUAUGAUGAUCCUAGUCAAAAUCCAUGAACCGAGUUCCAUUCAGCUGAAGUUGACUGAGUUGAAGAGUAAAGGUUGGAUUACCAAGAAAAGAAUCCUUCAGAUGGAAUUCUACCAGAAAAGUUAUUAUAGGAAAGGUCAGUCAAGUCAUAUCCUGCAUGUCAGUAGGAAUCUCAACAACAAGAUGGGUCCUUGAUAGGUUUAGACUGCUCAAUAUCUUCAACUUAGAUAUUGCAGGUGGGAUUUUACAUCGAUAUCUCGUCAUUUAUGUAAUUACCUUUUACAUCGAUGAUCGAUAUGUUACUCAGAGUCUCAGACUGAAAAAUUCAUCAGGAACAUCCCUGCAAGUUCAUCUGGAUAGAUGGAGGAAUGUUUCCAGUGAUGGAGUUGUUCAAUAGGUCUAGACUGUAGAGUUUCAAGGGAAGUUUACCCGACCGAGUUGUGAUUAAGCUCAAUAAUAUUGGCAUCAUCUGGUACCUGCUCUUGAGGAAUAGAACCCAAAAAAAAAAAUCCAUACGGUAUUGAUCCUUGUAGUUUCCCUCCUUUAUAUAGCUGUUCUGGAACCCGACAUCUAACGUGAUUUAUUGAGACAUCAACCCAAUCUCACUUUCCAUUCUAACCAAGAUUUGUGUAAGAUAAGAGUUGAAGUUGUUUCCCCAUAGCUGUAAUUUACUAAGAUUAAGGAGCUCAGAGAUGGAAUCAGGGAUUUUACCUUCAUAUAGGUUGACAAAAUCAAGUUUCUUUAACUGGGAAAAACUUUCAGGUAUUAUACUAGCUGGUAUAUGACCUGUGGUGUUGUUAAAAUGCAGAUAAAGAACCUUUAGUUCACUCUGAUAUCUUAAAAUUUGAAGGGAUUGUGCUUGAAAGGCCACAAGAAGUGGCAUCAAGAACUCGAAGUGACUUUAAAUAGCCGCAUUCGUAAGAGAUACCUCCCUCAGAAAGUGUUGUAGCAACCCACAUACCCGAAGAUUCAACAGACGACGCAAACCCCAAGGAAGUUUACCAGUAAUGCUAUUGAGACCUCUUAAGUUUACAAGCUCAGAGUAUGUGAAUAGAGUCUUAAGUUUAGGCAGCAGGCAAGUGAAGUUGUCAUAAGCAUCCAAAAACUCGCAAUUGAGUCAUUUUGUUUGUUAAUUUUGAAGGGAAAUGCCCACUUAUGUUGUUGCCUGAAAUGUUGAGCGUUAAGUUUGUCCUUCCAGCGGGAGAGUGCCUGUCAGAUUGGUUAAAGCUAACACCAGAGUCUGAAGCUGACUGAACUGUCCUUUAUCGGGUGGAAUUAUUCCAGAUAGAGGAGUUUGAGUAAUAUCUAAAGAGAUUACUCGAGAGCUCGUCACAUGAUACUCCUGACAGCAACCAAUACGAUAUUGGAGAUAAAUAUUGUUUCCAAUCUUCAAGGCCUGAGCCCUGAGAUCCUACAAAAGAUGCCUUUAGUUUUACUAGGGGAUCGAGUUCAGAGUAGCCAUAGCAGCAAGUGAAAGAACGGAGUAAAAGUAUCGGUAAAUUUUGCAGCAAGGAACUAUAAUUAACCAUCAAGUUUACAUAAUAUCACCUACUAGUUCCAAAAGCAUAUGCCGCUUACAAAAAUGGGGGAUUCAACAACUCUAAGAACCAUAGUGUAUCCUUAGAGAUUGCGCCCAAACUAUAAGGUAGCAAGUUUAAUCCACAAAAACUUACGACCACAACACGAGGUAAA